rnacentral:lncRNA from 10 species
GGGUUUUCUGGGUAUAGAAUUAUAUUGUCUCCAAAGAGAGAUAGUUUGACUUUCUCUCUUCCUAUUUGGAUGCCUUUUAUUUCUUUCUCUUGUCUGAUUGCUCUGGCCAGAAGUUCCAGCACUAUGUUGAAUAGGAGUGGUGAAAGUGGACAUCUUUGUCUUGUUCCAAUUCUUGAUAAGAAUGUUUCCAGCUUUUGCCCAUUCAGUACAAUGUUGGCUGUUAUUAUUUUUUAUUCCAUUUUGUAUGUCGUCUGUUUACUCUGUUGAUAGUUUCUUUUGCUACAACAUCAUUCUUUCUUAUAAUGUUUGCCCAUGUUAUUUUGAGGUAUGUUCCUUCAAUGCCUAGUUUGCAAAACCACCAUUCUGCAGCCCACGGAUCAAGAAAUAAUUUCAACUUUCAAGUCUUAUUGUUUAAGAAAUGCAUUAGGCUGGCCGGGUGUGGUGGCUCUCGCCUGUAAUCCCAGCACUUUGAGAGGCUCAGGUGGGUGGAUCACGAGGUCAGGAGAUCGAGACCAUCCUGGCCAACAUGCUGAAACCCCGUCUCUACUAAAUAUACAAAAAAUUAGCCGGGCAUGGUGGCGGGUGACUGUAGUCCCAGCUACUUGGGAGACUGGGGCAAGAGAAUGGCGUGAACCUGGGAGGCAGAGCUUUCAGUGAGCCGAGAUGGUGCCACUGCACUCCAGCCUGGGCAACAGAGUGAGACUCCGUCUCAAAAAAAAAAAAAAAAAAAGAAAAAAAGAAAAGCAUUAGGUAAGGCCACAGCUGUCAUAGAUAGUGAUUCCUCUGAUGUAUCUGGGCCAAGUAAAUUGAAAACCUUCUGGAAGGGAUUAACCAUUUUAGAUGCCAUUAAGAACAUUUGCGAUUCAUGAAAGGUGGUCAAGAUAUUGAUAUUCUCAGAAGUUUGGAAGAAGUUGGUUCCAACCCUCACAAAUGACUUUGAAAGGUUUAACACUUCAGUGGAAGAAGUCACCGCACAUGUGGUGGAAACAGCAAGAGAACUAGAAUUAGAAGUGGUGCCUCAAGAUGUGACUGAAUUGCCGCAAUCUCAUGAUCAAACUUGAAUGGAUGAGGAGUUGCUUCUUAUGGAUGAGCAAAGAAAAUGGCUUCUUGAAAUGGAUUCUACUCCUGGUGAAGAUGCUGUGAACGUUGUUGAAGUGACAACAAAGGACUUAGAAUAUUACAUAAAUGUAGUUGAUAAAGCAGCAGCAGGGUUUGAGAGGACUGACUCCAAUUUGAAAGAAGUUCUACUGUGGGUAUAAUGCUGUCAAACAGCAUCACAUUCUAUGGAGAAGUCUUUUGUGAAAGGAAAAGUCAAUCAAUAUGACAAAGUUCACUGUUGUCUUAUUUUGAGAAAUUGCCACAGCCACCCCAGCCUUCAGCAAUCAUCAACAUCAAAGCAAGACCCUCCAUUAGCAACAAGAUUAUGGCUCGCUGAAGGCUCAGAUGAUCAUUAGCAUUUUUUAGAAAUAAAGUAUUUUUAAAUUAAGGACCUUUUGCUUAGUGACUUAGCAUUUUUUUUUCCCAGGAGAGGUGCCCGAUGAGCUCCCAGUCAUGUGGUUCAGGGCGGGCUCUGGAAGACUCACAGAGGAGACUCCUCCGAGAAACCAAGAAGGUUUCUGUCCAAGUCGGGAUCUGCUCUGCUCAGGAUGCUCCUCCAACACACACAGUGAAAAACUGAGCACCUAGAGAGCAACACCAAAAACCCAUGGCCAAUAAUGGAGAGCCAAAUCAGGAGAGCAUUCAGCAAAGCAAUUCUUGCUGUAGAAGGAACAGCACAAAAAGCUGGAAGGAAACUGAGGCAUGCGUGAAAGAUAACUUGUCAGUGUUUGCAGUCUACUGAGAUCCCCGCUGCAAGAAAAGGCAGGAUUUCCACUUGCUUCUUGGCCCGCCUCUGUUGUCCAGAAUCCAGGACAGGUGACAAGAGAAGCAGAUGUGAUCUGCACAAGCUGGCUCAGCUGGGUUGGGAGUUGCUCUUCCUGGACAGGCCGGGAAGGGUGCUGGAGGGGAGGGAGGAGGAGAGAGGUUUUAGGGGAGGGGUGCUGAGCAGUCAGGGACCUGUAAGGUCACAUUUCUUUCAGGUAUUCUUUCUAGGUGUACUGAAUGGGAACAUUGUCUGUCAUCCCUAGACUGCAUUAAAGACCUAAACUGCUUCCAUUUAUCUUUGGUUGUUGGACUGAAGUUUCUAAUGUACCUGGUGACACAGAGCACAGCUCUGUGUUUUUAUGGGUUGCUUAGUUCAAGAUCUGGAUGAAAGAAGCCUGAACCCAUUUUUGUGCAAAAGCCUAAGGGUGUACAGCAGGGAUGCUCAAACUUUUGUUUUUAUAAGAACCCACUUUUAUAUUAAGUAGGUUUUCUGUGUGUGAGAAGAAAUGCUUGAACAUGGAAAUGAAAAGUUCUAACUGUAGGAUGGAGUUUACA